rnacentral:rRNA from 1 species
UGAUGCAGCAACGCCGCGUGAGCGAUGAAGGCCUUCGGGUCGUAAAGCUCUGUCCUCAAGGAAGAUAAUGACGGUACUUGAGGAGGAAGCCCCGGCUAACUACGUGCCAGCAGCCGCGGUAAUACGUAGGGGGCUAGCGUUAUCCGGAAUUACUGGGCGUAAAGGGUGCGUAGGCGGUCUUUCAAGCCAGAAGUGAAAGGCUACGGCUCAACCGUAGUAAGCUUUUGGAACUGUAGGACUUGAGUGCAGGAGAGGAGAGUGGAAUUCCUAGUGUAGCGGUGAAAUGCGUAGAUAUUAGGAGGAACACCAGUAGCGAAGGCGGCUCUCUGGACUGUAACUGACGCUGAGGCACGAAAGCGUGGGGAGCAAACAGGAUUAGAUACCCCGGUAG